CCAGGAAGGCAGCAGGCGCGCAAAUUACCCAAUCCCGAUACGGGGAGGUAGUGACAAUAAAUACUGAUACGGGGCUCUUUUGGGUCUCGUAAUUGGAAUGAGAACAAUUUAAAUCCCUUAACGAGGAACAAUUGGAGGGCAAGUCUGGUGCCAGCAGCCGCGGUAAUUCCAGCUCCAAUAGCGUAUAUUAAAGUUGUUGCAGUUAAAAAGCUCGUAGUUGAACCUUGGGUCUGGCUGGCCGGUCCGCCUCACCGCGAGUACUGUCCGGCUGGACCUUUCCUUCUGGGGAACCUCAUGGCCUUCACUGGCUGUGGGGGGAACCAGGACUUUUACUGUGAAAAAAUUAGAGUGUUCAAAGCAGGCCUUUGCUCGAAUACAUUAGCAUGGAAUAAUAGAAUAGGACGUGCGGUUCUAUUUUGUUGGUUUCUAGGACCGCCGUAAUGAUUAAUAGGGAUAGUCGGGGGCGUCAGUAUUCAGCUGUCAGAGGUGAAAUUCUUGGAUUUGCUGAAGACUAACUACU
rnacentral:rRNA from 1 species